rnacentral:rRNA from 1 species
AGAGUUUGAUCAUGGCUCAGAAUCAACGCUGGCGGCGCGCCUAACACAUGCAAGUCGAACGAGAAAGCAGGAGCAAUCUUGUGAGUAAAGUGGCGUACGGGUGAGUAACACGUGGAUCAUCUACCCUCUUGUGGGGGAUAACCCUGGGAAACCGGGGCUAAUACCGCAUAAGUCCGAGAGGAGAAAGCAGCAAUGCGCAGGAGGAGGAGUCCGCGGCCGAUUAGCUAGUUGGUAGGGUAAAAGCCUACCAAGGCAACGAUCGGUAGCCGGCCUGAGAGGGCACACGGCCACACUGGCACUGAAACACGGGCCAGACUCCUACGGGAGGCAGCAGUGGGGAAUCUUGCACAAUGGGGGCAACCCUGAUGCAGCGACGCCGCGUGAGCGAUGAAGCCCUUCGGGGUGUAAAGCUCUUUCGGCAGGGAAGAUUAUGACGGUACCUGCAGAAGCAGCUGCGGCUAACUACGUGCCAGCAGCCGCGGUAAUACGUAGGCAGCAAGCGUUGUUCGGAGUUACUGGGCGUAAAGGGUGUGUAGGCGGUCUUCUAAGUUUGGUGUGAAAUCUCCCGGCUCAACUGGGAGGGUGCGCCGAAAACUGGGAGGCUAGAGUGCGGGAUGGGAGAGUGGAAUUCCUGGUGUAGCGGUGAAAUGCGUAGAUAUCAGGAGGAACACCGGUGGUGUAGACGGCUCUCUGGACCGCAACUGACGCUGAGACACGAAAGCGUGGGUAGCAAACAGGAUUAGAUACCCUAGUAGUCC